CCAACAACCAAAAAACCAGCUUACAAACAGGGUAUGAAAAUGAGUAAACUGACCUAUAACGCCUUCUUGUAGUCCAAAGAUCCAUAAAAUUCCAACAAAAACGGUGUAGUUACACUCUGAAGGGUCCAGUAAAUCCAAUUCAGUGAAAUAUUUAGUCCACAGCACAUGUAUAUGUCAAUAAACAUCCAAGGAACAUAGUAGUAUCAUUUACAAACAGCCAACAAAGCUACCAAAUCUCCAGCGCAUUCGGUCGUGUAGCGUCUCUUCACUUGUAAACAUUGCAGAUUUGUUCAUGUCAAAAUGGCCGCUGAACUCUGCCCUUUUGAUUGACACCUCAUUUGAGCGAAUAGGUGCUUCUCAUAGGUGACAACAGGGAGGAAUGCACAAGGAACGCCCAGGAGCGUGAAUGGGACCGUCCUCUAUUUGAUUGACAAUAGAUCGAUCCUGUCGCGUCAGAGUUUGCAAAUGACGGGCGUAUCUGAUAGCCAAUAAGAUUCUGAAAAGAAGGAUAUGCAGCUUCACUAGAAAGAUUCAACCUGUAACCCGAUUGGUCGUGCACAAACAUACACUUGUUUGGUGCGCUCUGUGUGCGUAAAUCCCAACAGUGACUAGCGGCCGUGCGCUAAAGCUGCUAAUGCUGUGCUAGGAAAGCAUUGAGCGUCUAAAAAGUUUUACAAUGUCGAAAAGAGCAAGUAAAAGAAACUUUUCACUUGAAGAAGUUGUCGAGCAGUGUACCAGGCGUGAGAGUGAUUUGUUGGAGGAAGACGUUUCAGACGAAGAGAGCGUUUCCUCCGUUGACCCAGUAGCGGAAGAGAUUUUUUGGAUGGGGGAGACGUCACUCUCGACAAGUGCAUGCUGGAGUGGACCUUUCCAAUGCCCUAAUCAGCUAUUAUAAAGUGAUCCACAAAACCCAGAAUUGGUAUAAGACCUUUUUUAUCAUUUCUUAGACAUUGCCACUGUGAAUGCCUUACUGAUUUACAAGCAUAUCACAAAAGGUAAAGGGGAGGUGCCAAUGCACCAGAAGGCAUUUAGGGAGACACUAGUGAGUAGCUGGCAGCGGUUGCUGACAUACCCGCUCCAUCGCCCACUUCACACAGAGCACAUCACAAGCCUUUGCAUAUUAGUGGAGACGACACCACAGUUCGUCUAAGGUGCAGGCACUGCCAUGCAAAGACUACUGUAAAAUGUUCUUCAUGUGAUGAGCAUUUGUGCUUUUUGCCAAGCCGUGAUUGUAAUAACGAGUGACAUGUUGCCAAUAACCUGCAAUAUUGUAAAAUUUCUAAAUAGUUUUUUAUAUACAUUUAUAUAUUUAGAUUGUGGUUUUUCUAAUAUUAAAAGUAUUUUAUUACUAUAGAA